AUACGGAGGAUCCGAGCGUUAUCCGGAUUUAUUGGGUUUAAAGGGUGCGUAGGCGGUUUUAUAAGUCAGCGGUGAAAUUUUCCGGCUCAACCGGGAUACUACCGUUGAUACUGUAAGGCUAGGAUAUGGUUGCUGUGGGUGGAAUGUGUGGUGUAGCGGUGAAAUGCAUAGAUAUCACGAGGAACUCCGAUUGCGCAGGCAGCUUACUAAACUACUACUGACGCUCAGGCACGAAGGCGUGGGGAUC
rnacentral:rRNA from 1 species